rnacentral:rRNA from 1 species
AGCAGUGGGGAAUCUUGCGCAAUGGGCGAAAGCCUGACGCAGCCAUGCCGCGUGAAUGAUGAAGGUCUUAGGAUUGUAAAAUUCUUUCACCGGGGAAGAUAAUGACGGUACCCGGAGAAGAAGCCCCGGCUAACUUCGUGCCAGCAGCCGCGGUAAUACGAAGGGGGCUAGCGUUGCUCGGAAUUACUGGGCGUAAAGGGCGCGUAGGCGGACAGUUAAGUCAGAGGUGAAAGCCCAGGGCUCAACCCUGGAAUUGCCUUUGAUACUGGCUGUCUUGAGUGCGGGAGAGGUGUGUGGGACUCCGAGUGUAGAGGUGAAAUUCGUAGAUAUUCGGAAGAACACCAGUGGCGAAGGCGACACGCUGGCCCGUAACUGACGCUGAGGCGCGAAAGGCGGUUGGGCCGGCCAAACCCAGGAAUAAGAAUAACCCCUUGGGUAGUCCCACGCCCGCAAACGAUGAGUGCUUAGUUGUCGGCAUGCAUGCAUGUCGGUGACGCAGCUAACGCAUAAGCACUCGCCUGGG